CCCACAAUGCUUUGCUUGAUAUUUUCCAUUACAAAACCAAGAUUCAAGCAGAAGCUUAAAACCAUGAGAUCCAACACAAUUGUCAUUUGAGGUCCAACGCACAAGAGAUACUUCAGCCUUAAUUCAAAUAACAGUCAGGAGGGGACACUUUUGAGGUCAAGCUUGUUUGAAUUGAGUGUGCAUUUGGAAAACUGCUUAAUUAAAUAUUUAUCCGAUAAUAACUUAUCAAGUCAAGUGUGCAUAAGAGUUUACAUCCAUAAGAAUUCCCACAUAAGCUGUUUUUCAUAAUUUUAUCAUAUAAGCUUAUACAAAUAAGGUCAGAAGACGUUAUAGGUAGGUUGUAAGCUACUUCAUAAACUCAAUCAAAUUGUGAUCAUGAAGAAUAUGCAAAUCAAAAGUCUGUCAGCGUACAUACAAAGUGGAUGAGUCACUCAUUUUGAUUUUGAGGAUUGUUAUGAAGAUUAUGAUAGAAACAAAGAGGUGGAAGUUCUUUCAUUGUGUACAGUUUAGGCAAGCAUUUAUUGUAUUUGACACUAGCUCAGAUCACAUCUAUUCAGAUACCAAUUACUUUUAUUUCACGUCUUCUUUUGGAAGUUGCUCAAAAAGAGUUUACGUUUUCUAUUUAUGAUAAGCACAUACACCUGGUCACCAGAUAGCCCCACUACUUUAAAUGCAUAUAAUCUUAUAUCCUCUACCCAGCUGUGAUAUCUGUCUUUUCUCACUAAUAUAAUAUUUUCCCAUUGAAGAAUUAGAAGGCCAAAAUAUAUUUUUGGUCCCACAAAUAUUCUUUUUUUUCUUUCUUGUGUUAAUCUUUUUCAUCAAUCUUCAUUUAUUUGAAGUUGUUGGGGAGUUUGGACGAAUACCGGGAGCAACAUCGAGCUGAUGAUCUAGGAUUACUAAGAGAUAAGGGCAUCGUAUUGUUGAUGUGUCAAGUCCAGUAGGAGGCAACAGUUGAGCUAAAGUUUUUAAUGAACCUCCUCUAAAAGAAAGCUCGGAUACCAAAUCUAAUUCAGGGACAGGAGGAAUGGUAAAUGUUAAGAGUGUCACAUCAGACAAUAUAUAAAUAAAACAUGUGCAAUCCUCACUUUACAACCCGGUUUUGUAGGGUUGAGUUAGACCCAACCACAUUUCUUGUGAACCAUCUAUCAGGUUUCCACUAUCGGAUUACCCACAAUUUAAUAUUGUCAUAGCUAUUAUAAUGUAUGAGCUAGAAAUCAAACUUAUAACCACAUGCUUAAGAGACUCACGCAGCUCAAUCCCUUUAAAACUGAAUUUUAAGGUGAGAUCUACUCCUACUUAUAAAACUUUCGUAAGGACCCUUAACUUAUCAAACUUGGAACUUUUAGCAGAGACAAUUAUUUUAAAGUAAAAACAAAAAAUAUGGGUGUUAAUGGAUAAAAUAUAUAAAUAGAGAAUAUGAUAUAAUGUAAUAUACCCAUGAAGGAAUCAGUGGUAGGUUCCCAAUGUUCAAGAAAAGCCUCAUGUGGAAGUUCAACCUCAACCAAAGCAAGCUUUGGUUCAACUCUUUGCGUGCGUGCUCUCCCUUUUGAAUUCACAACCACCCACUGUCGAUCCCACCGAAUUCCUAUCAAGUAAAAACAUUGAAUAAAAAAGUUGCAAUCAAAUUCAAAUGAAAAAGCAGAAUAAGAAGGAAUAAGGUACCAAAAGGAGUGAGAGGAGCAGAAGGAAGAGAGAUUCCACGGCAUGACUUAAUUGGAUAGGUGAAAAUGCCUGUAACUUUAGCUACGGGUGGUGCUAACUCUGUUGCAACAGAAGGUGUUGAUGUUACAGCACCCAUGUUUUCUUCUUUCUCUUUGUUCUUAGAAAAUAUAUGUUGUCCCUUCAAUUCAAUGAAACUGAACCAAAACUUUAAACUUCACACGCUAGGAGUCACGUGUCUAGGAAACAUGUUACAUUUAAAACAGUGCAAUUACCAUUAAGUUACUGCAAUUCUAUAAAAAGAAUGCUUAAAUGUAAUUUUGAUCUCAAGUUUUUCAAUUAUUUAAUUUUGGUCUUUUAAAUUUUAA